CCCCAUUUAUCUUUUAGUUGCUAACCCUAACUCAGAUCUCUCCUCAUCUCUUCUCCCCUUCAUUAUUUUCUCAGCCGCCCUUUCUCUAUUCCCUCUUCCUCCUCUCUCUCUCUCUCUCUCUCUCUCUCUCUCUCCCUCUGUGACGACAACGCUCAACUAGGCAAAGCUCAAGGGAGAGCUUGUGCGUGCUUUAGGAGGCGCUGUAGCAUCCACUUUUCUUUUGCUCCAAAGGGCCAUGACCUAGGGGCUGGGAGAGGAUCUUAAUAGAGAAGGCUUGAAGAAAAUGCCUCUUCGUGUUGCCAAGAGACCUCCGAGAAGGAGCAAGGGGAAGAUGGAGCAUUUUUUUUUUUCACUGGAAGAUGGAAUAGUUUGAAUGUUAUUUAUGUAAUUUUAUUUGCUAUAUGUGUUUUUCUUUUGUUAUUGGGUUGUAAUUUUAAAUUUAAUGUUUGCUAAAUUUUGUUUGGGACAAUUGGAAGGGAAUUAGGCUAAUUGUGAA